GACGAACGCUGGCGGCGCGCCUAACACAUGCAAGUCGAACGAGCGAGAGAGAGCUUGCUUUCUUGAGCGAGUGGCGAACGGGUGAGUAACGCGUGAGGAACCUGCCUCAAAGAGGGGGACAACAGUUGGAAACGACUGCUAAUACCGCAUAAGCCCACGGUGCCGCAUGGCACAGAGGGAAAAGGAGCAAUCCGCUUUGAGAUGGCCUCGCGUCCGAUUAGCUAGUUGGUGAGGUAACGGCCCACCAAGGCGACGAUCGGUAGCCGGACUGAGAGGUUGAACGGCCACAUUGGGACUGAGACACGGCCCAGACUCCUACGGGAGGCAGCAGUGGGGAAUAUUGCACAAUGGGGGAAACCCUGAUGCAGCGACGCCGCGUGGGGGAAGAAGGUCUUCGGAUUGUAAACUCCUGUUGUUGGGGAAGAUAAUGACGGUACCCAACAAGGAAGUGACGGCUAACUACGUG
rnacentral:rRNA from 1 species